CCCUUAGAUGUUCUGGGCCGCACGCGCGCUACACUGAUGCAUUCAACGAGUUUUUCCUGGUCCGAGAGGAAUGGGUAACCUUUUGAAAGUGCAUCGUGCUAGGGAUAGACUAUUGCAAUUAUUGGUCUUCAACGAGGAAUUCCUAGUAGACGUAGUUCAUCAGACUGCAUCGAUUACGUCCCUGCCCUUUGUACACACCGCCCGUCGCACCUACCGAUUGAAUGGUCCGGUGAAAUCUCGGGACGGCGGCUUGGUCGCUUGCGUCCGACUGCUGAAACUUGAUUAAACCAUAUCAUUCAGAGGAAGGUGAAGUCGUAACA
rnacentral:rRNA from 1 species